rnacentral:rRNA from 1 species
GAGGUUACUGCUAUCGGUGUUCGCCUAAGCCAUGCGAGUCAUAUGUAGCAACACAUGGCGUACUGCUCAGUAACACGUGGAUAACCUGCCCUUGGGACCGGCAUAACCCCGGGAAACUGGGGAUAAUUCCGGAUAACGCAUAUUUGCUGGAAUGCUUUAUGCGUCAAAAGGAUUCGUCUGCCCAAGGAUGGGUCUGCGGCCUAUCAGGUAGUAGUGGGUGUAAUGUACCUACUAGCCAGCGACGGGUACGGGUUGUGAGAGCAAGAGCCCGGAGAUGGAUUCUGAGACAUGAAUCCAGGCCCUACGGGGCGCAGCAGGCGCGAAAACUUUACAAUGCGGGAAACCGUGAUAAGGGGACACCGAGUGCCAGCAUCAUAUGCUGGCUGUCCGGAUGUGUAAAAUACAUCCGUUAGCAAGGGCCGGGCAAGACCGGUGCCAGCCGCCGCGGUAACACCGGCGGCCCGAGUGGUGAUCGUGAUUAUUGGGUCUAAAGGGUCCGUAGCCGGUUUGGUCAGUCCUCCGGGAAAUCNGAUAGCUCAACUAUUAGGCUUUCGGGGGAUACUGCCAGACUUGGAACCGGGAGAGGUAAGAGGUACUACAGGGGUAGGAGUGAAAUCUUGUAAUCCCUGUGGGACCACCUGUGGCGAAGGCGUCUUACCAGAACGGGUUCGACGGUGAGGGACGAAAGCUGGGGGCACGAACCGGAUUAGAUACCCGGGUAGUCCCAGCCGUAAACGAUGCUCGCUAGGUGUCAGGCAUGGCGCGACCGUGUCUGGUGCCGCAGGGAAGCCGUGAAGCGAGCCACCUGGGAAGUACGGCCGCAAGGCUGAAACUUAAAGGAAUUGGCGGGGGAGCACAACAACGGGUGGAGCCUGCGGUUUAAUUGGACUCAACGCCGGACAACUCACCGGGGGCGACAGCAAUAUGUAGGCCAAGCUGAAGACUUUGCCUGAAUCGCUGAGAGGAGGUGCAUGGCCGUCGCCAGUUCGUACUGUGAAGCAUCC